GACUGAUUUCUCUUCAUUUCAAUAAACGUAAGUUUGAAAUCAGUCUUAUUAUGAUAAAUCUUAUAUGUAUAAACACUUAUAUCCAGGAUUUUAUUAAUACAGCUGGAGGACUAUCUAAUAAAGUAAAAUAUUUUGCCUUUAGGAUACUUCUCAUGUCAUAGCGCUUUACAAACCAUAUGAUAUUUCUACAGCUUCCCUCGCUCUUGGAUGUGUUCAUCACACUGAACCCACAGCCCCGUGUGGGAUGCAGACUAAUGCCCACUGCAUAUGUACCAACGAAGUUAUAGACACCAAGAGAGGAGAGAGUCACGGCUGGAAUGAUGUAUCUGCCCUGAGAGUGAAUGAUGGAUUUAAUGAACAAUAGAUGUCCAUCCCAAGCAAUACUGCAAGUUGGAUUUUCCUACAGAGAACAGUGAUUUGUAAUUACUUACCAGGGAAACUGCAGAUAUUGAUGUCUCAACUCAGCAGGCUGCAGGACAAGCUUGGAAAACAAGUAGAGCAAAUGGAAGAUACUCUGUUUGAAUUGCAGGAUUAUUCCUGAAAGGAUUCCUGAUGACUCCAGUGCCUUUUUGCCAGCAGGCAACCAGAAACAUCCCCAGGUAUUCAAAGCAGAGGUGAUGUUGGGAAUGGAAAAAGGCAAACUUUAUCCCAAGUAGCUUGAGGCCACUCCGGAAACUUUGUCCUGGGAGUCCCUGCUGGAUUCUGCACCAAGUCAGUACAUGGCCUGAUAUGAGUAUGUGUUUAAAUGUCCAUUCAGUUGCCAUUGCAGAGGGGGGAAAAAAAUGGUACCACUUUGGGUGAGACUCACAAAUGUGUGACACAGAAAGCCCUCCUUGGUUAAUCCAUUUUCUCCUGUAUACGCUUCCUUUCUGUUCUUUUUGAUCUCCCAAUAGCCAACAGAGUGCUCAUCCAAGAGUGGUGACAGGAGCUUUCUGUGAGUCUAAUUAUGUGUCUUUCCCUGAUUGACUCAGUGCUUUUAAUAUCCUAAUUUGAAAGGCAGGGUGUGAUUGCAAAAGCAUACCCUUCUACCCAAGUCAUAGGGAUUUUUGUACAGACUGACCACUGUUGCUUGUUUGCCCAGAAGAGACAGCUCUUCAGAGACUUUCUUGAAGGAAAGGAAAACAGGGUGGACUAUGAACAGGGUGGGAUUCAAAGAGAUUAACAAUCGGAAUUAAGCAGAUUCCUCCGCUAACCAUCUGGCUUAGCAACCCCAAUGGACAAGUUGAUCCAGAAAGCAGAGACACUACCUCAUAGUCUAUAGCCCAUGAGUCAGUGAAAGCGUUUGACAAAGAUGAUCAAGUAAUUAUAAUCUCCAAAACUGUCAGACUUGCUGGUAGGGUCAGUGGCGUGACAGUCUUAGCUGAUGCUGUCACUUCCUCACACACAUAGGCCAAUUGUGUCACCAAGGCUAUAGUCAAACACUUCAGCAUGAUGGCUCAUAAUGUUGCCAAACAUCUUUCCUUGUAGCUAACUAUGAAAAAAUGUUGGUGUCAGUAGUCAUGUAGAGACUGUAAUUAAAAUACUGAACUUUUUAGGUCAGAUUCUUUAGUGGUCCCUUGCUGGUAGACAGCCUAAUGUGGGCAAUGGGCUGCAAUGAAAAGUGGCACAAUUUCUGUUGCAUUCACAGAGAAACGAUGGAGCCUACAAUAAAGAAAAUGUGUCAGAAAAUUUGGUCUCUGGA
rnacentral:lncRNA from 1 species